rnacentral:rRNA from 1 species
ACGAACGCUGGCGGCGUGCUUAACCCCUGCAAGUCGAACGGAAAGGCCCUGCUUGCAGGGUACUCGAGUGGCGAACGGGUGAGUAACACGUGGGUGAUCUGCCCUGCACUUCGGGAUAAGCCUGGGAAACUGGGUCUAAUACCGGAUAGGAGCCAUUUUUAGUGUGAUGGUUGGAAAGUUUUUUCGGUGUAGGAUGAGCUCGCGGCCUAUCAGCUUGUUGGUGGGGUAAUGGCCUACCAAGGCGGCGACGGGUAGCCGGCCUGAGAGGGUGGACGGCCACAUUGGGACUGAGAUACGGCCCAGACUCCUACGGGAGGCAGCAGUGGGGAAGAUUGCACAAUGGGCGCAAGCCUGAUGCAGCGACGCCGCGUGGGGGAUGACGGCCUUCGGGUUGUAAACUCCUUUCGCUAGGGACGAAGCUUUUUGUGACGGUACCUAGAUAAGAAGCACCGGCUAACUACGUG